UAAUAUUCAUGGACAUGACAGGGUUCUCUCAGCUUCAUGAACAUUACCAGGACUCUAUAUUUAUAUGUAUGCAUUCAGUUGGUGAGCCACUUCAGAAAAUAUCUUGAUCACUUGAUCUAGAGCUAAAUUUUGAGGUUUCAAAGACUACAGAA